rnacentral:lncRNA from 1 species
GGAACAUGGGGGUGGGGGUGCCCAGCCCCUCUCCUUCCCAGCAGAGGCCAGCACGUGUGGCCACCUGUCUCUGCUGCCUGCCUUCCUCACCCUCUGGGCUUUCUGGGGUCUGGAUCUCCUGAGUGUCAGUGGCAGGAGGGACCCUGAGUCUGAAGGAGAAAGGGGCUGGGGGCUGGACUCCUGGCCCUGGGAAGAAGGAAGAGGCCACAACCCAAACCCCUGAGUACCAAGAAGGAGGGCAGGAGGUCAGAGGUGGAGGGUUGCUGUGUGGGAAGGAAGGAAAAUGGUCAGGGCAGAGGAAGUAGUUGCCGUCUGGGGGGAGGAUUUUUGGUGGAGAUGUCAUCACCAAGUCCUUCCCCUCUGGCCCCUGCCCGCCAGGGGAACUCCAGCGUGGUGGGGACGAGGGAGAAGGGAAGGCCGUGGAGGGGAGGAGGCAGGGUCACCAGGGCUCCUGCAGCACAAACUGCACCCAGACAGCCAGGGGACCUGAAGGCUGGAUUCUUCGGUCCCUUCAUAGGUUCUAAGAAGACAGGACCUGGCAGCCUGAGGCCCGGGGAGAGUGGCGGGGAGACCCAAGGCCCUGUGCGGUGGCCAGCGCUCCAGCCUGGACUUUGCCUCUGGGCAGCCCCAGCCACACCCUCACCGCAACCCAGGCCUUUCCUGAAACACCCAGGACCACAGCCUGGGGAGCUGGAGAGAGCCCGCC